rnacentral:rRNA from 1 species
UACGAAGGGGGCUAGCGUUGUUCGGAAUCACUGGGCGUAAAGCGCACGUAGGUGGCCAACUAAGUCAGACGUGAAAUCCCCAGGCUCAACCUGGGAACUGCGUCUGAUACUGGAUGGCUUGAAUUCGGGAGAGGGAUGCAGAAUUCCAGGUGUAGCGGUGAAAUGCGUAGAUAUCUGGAGGAAUACCGGUGGCGAAGGCGGCAUCCUGGACCGAGAUUGACACUGAGGAGCGAAAGCCAGGGGAGCAAACGGG